UUUUAAAACUAACCCAACGUUAAGUUCAACUAAACUAUAAAGAAAACUUUCAACAACGGAUCUCUUGGUUCUCGCAUCGAUGAAGAACGCAGCGAAAUGCGAUACGUAGUAUGACUUGCAGACGUGAAUCAUCGAAUCUUUGAACGCACAUUGCGCCUUGGGGUAUUCCCCAAGGCAUGCCUGUUUGAGCGUGAUGUCUUCUCACCAAUCUUCGCGGUGGCGUUGCAUUCACAAAAUUACAGCUUGCACGAAAAAAAUCUACGCUUUUUUUUCGUUUUGUUGUCGCCUCAAAUCAGGUAGGACUACCCGCUGAACUUAAGCAUAU
rnacentral:misc_RNA from 1 species